rnacentral:rRNA from 1 species
UACAGAGGUCUCAAGCGUUGUUCGGAUUCAUUGGGCGGAAAGGGUGCGUAGGCGGCGCGGUAAGUCGGGUGUGAAAUCUCGGAGCUUAACUUCGAAACUGCAUUCGAUACUGCCGUGCUUGAGGACUGGAGAGGAGACUGGAAUUUACGGUGUAGCGGUGAAAUGCGUAGAUAUUCGCAAGAACACCAGUGGCGAAGGCGGCUCACUGGCCCGAUACUGACGCUGAGGCACGAAAGCGUGGGGAGCAAACAGG